rnacentral:lncRNA from 1 species
GCUCGAAUCUCAAAUAUCAACCAUUUAACCGAAACCAAUUACAUAGACUGGCUCAAAAAUAUAAGAAUCAUUCUUAGUUUUGAAAAAUUAAACCAUGAUCUUGACUAGGAUAUCCUUGUGCUACCAGCUCGUCCAAUCCAAAGUCAACGAGCAAUACUUGAUAAGUGGAUAGACAAUGGCAAUAAAGAUAGGUAUUUUAUAUUGG